rnacentral:rRNA from 1 species
GACGAACGCUGGCGGCGUGCCUAAUACAUGCAAGUCGAGCGAACAGACGAGGAUUUUGCUCCUCUGACGUGAGCGGCGGACGGGUGAGUAACGCGUGGAUAACCUACCUAUAAGACUGAUAUAAGUUCGAGAAACCGUAGUUAAUACCGGAUAAUUUAUUGAACCUGAUGGUUCAAUAGUUAAAUUUGUUUUUGCUGUCACUUAUACAUGGAUUCUCGCCGCUUGAGCGAGUUGGUAAGGUAACGGCUUACCAAGGCGGGGAUGCGUAGCCGGCGGGCGAGGGUGGAGCGCCACACUGGAAGUGAGACACGGUACAGGAUCCUACGGGAGGCAGCAGUAGGGAAUCUUGCGCAAUGGGGGAAAGCCUGACGGAGCAGCGCCGCGUGGGUGCUGAAGGUCUUCGGAUCGUAACACUCUGUUAUUGGGGAAGAACACAUGUGCAAGUAACUAUGCACGUUUUGACGGUACCUAAUCAGAAAGCAACGGCUAACUACGUG